UACAGAGGGUGCGAGCGUUAAUCGGAAUUACUGGGCGUAAAGCGUGCGCAGGCGGCUUUGCAAGACAGAUGUGAAAUCCCCGGGCUUAACCUGGGAAUGGCCUUUGUGACUGCACGGCUAGAGUGUGUCAGAGGGAGGUAGAAUUCCACGUGUAGCAGUGAAAUGCGUAGAUAUGUGGAGGAAUACCGAUGGCGAAGGCAGCCUCCUGGGAUAACACUGACGCUCAUGCACGAAAGCGUGGGGAGCAAACAGG
rnacentral:rRNA from 1 species